rnacentral:misc_RNA from 1 species
AUAUGGUAUCCAUAGAGUACGUACGAAGUAAAAACACUAAUUUAGAACCCCUUCCGCAAGUCCCCACCUGCGUGCUUUCAACUACGCCGUCUGCAUACGAACGCAUUAUUUAUGACAAAUUUUAUAGUAGAUAUUGAACAAGCAUUUGUUAAAAUGAAAUUACGUAACAACAACUGAUUAUCAGUAAAAAGUGAAUAUUGAACAAAUCAAUUCUCAUGCGACGAGGAAGGCAAUAAAAAUAAACAUUGUACCUUUUCAGAGCUGAAAAUUUGUACUUGACAAUUCAGACUACAGAGAGGUAUCAGAAGGAAUUAGAGAUUACCGAAACGUUAUUUGCAUUAGGUUAUCUCAUUUACACAACGAAAAAAAUGGCGGUAGAGACUUAUAUUUAUGUUUAAAGACAGAAGAGCAAAAAAAUUGUUUACUAAAGGUCCUCCAUGAUAAUAUUGAAAUUAUAUCUAGCCAAGCAGAAUAUAUUGAAGAUACAAAUGAAUAUCCAACAAAAUUCAUUCCUUUCGAUAAUGAUAACCCACUUUUGAAAAAGUUAGAAAGUAUGAGAAACAAUUUACGAAAUCAAAAUGAAAACGAAACUUUUUACAUUGAUGCAUCGACUAAUGACUUUUAUUUUUCAGCUCAAGAAAUUACAAACAUUUUUAAAUGUUACAAGUUUAUUGCAACAAAGUUAUGACUGUGGCUUCACUUACUAAUUUGAUCAUUUCGUCAACGAAGUUGUAAACCAAUAUAAAAGUUUUAAACCAAUAACAACAAGCUUUUUAAGACUUCAGAAUUUUAAGAAUCAAGAUAAUUCUUGUUGCGGCUCAAAUGGUUCUUUUUGCAAAUUAAUCUACAUUCGUUAUCACUGCAAAAUAAUCUACAUUCGUUAUCGUAGCAAAUUAUUCUUCAUUCGUUAUCGUUGCAAAUUGAUCUACAUUUGUUAUCGUUGCAAAUUAAUCUACAUUCAUUAUCGUUUUGAAUGCGCUUGUUGCUUAUUAAAUUAAAAACGAGUUUUAUGAAAUUAUGUAUAAUAAUUGUGCAAGUUAAAAAUGAUAUAAGCAAGUUAAUACUUUAAUAACUAAACUAAUAUUUUUGAUAAUAAUCGAACUCUAAUUUUUGUUGUUUGUAAGAUAUAUUAUAAAAUAUUUAUUUGUAAUAUUGCGAAGUAAUUUAUUUUUAUUUAUUGUAUCAUUAAGUAAUAACACAGUUAACUUAUUGUCUUAUUAAGUUUUUAAUAAAAAGAGGGAAAGAAGUCUGUACUUUUUACUGAUUUCAAUUUUUCCAUUUAUCAAUUAUUUUUCUUGAAUAUUUUUAAAUCCAUGAAAUACAACACCAAGUGAUUGCAAUGAAUAGGCAAUUAAACAAACAAAUAACAUUCGUUCAGCUUAAUUAAGUACCUUUUCACAAAAUUUUCACUAUAAGACUCUGAAAUAUCAAUUCGAUGCUUUAGUUUUAAAAGAUGCUUUAUGAAUACGGAAAAGCCAUCUCAAAAUCAGUGAAAGAGAAAAACAAAGUAUUUCAUUUCAGGUAUUUAAUCUAUCGCAAAAAGCUGAAUCAUAAAUAAUAGCUAAUGUAUAUACUGCAACUUUGAAUACGUUGAAGAACCCCCUGUCUGUUUAAUUCUUUAUCUAAUAAAGAUCAUUUUAAAAAACAUUCCAAUUUAUAUUUUAUAUACAAAACGGUGCCUGGUGACAAGAUUUACAACUUUACUAUGGAUAUAGACGAUUUUAGAAAAAUGUUUUGGGAAAACGUUUUGCAAAACAUACAUCGACGAUAUCAAAACAAAUCUUCAGAAGAUUACAGAAACAUAGGAGCCAGUGUAACAGGUAAAGUUUAAAUACUUGGGCAUAGGUUU